CGCUGGCGGCAUGCCUUACACAUGCAAGUCGAACGGCAGCAUGAUCUAUCUUGCUAGAUUGAUGGCGAGUGGCGAACGGGUGAGUAAUACAUCGGAACGUGCCCUGUAGUGGGGGAUAACUAGUCGAAGGAUUAGCUAAUACCGCAUACGACCUGAGGGUGAAAGUGGGGGACCGCAAGGCCUCAUGCUAUAGGAGCGGCCGAUGUCUGAUUAGCUAGUUGGUGAGGUAAAGGCUCACCAAGGCGACGAUCAGUACCUGGUCUGAGAGGACGAUCAGCCACACUGGGACUGAGACACGGCCCAUACUCCUACGGGAGGCAGCAGUGGGGAAUUUUGGACAAUGGGGGCAACCCUGAUCCAGCAAUGCCGCGUGUGUGAAGAAGGCCUUCGGGUUGUAAAGCACUUUUGUCCGGAAAGAAAUCGCACUUACUAAUAUUAGGUGUGGAUGACGGUACCGGAAGAAUAAGGACCGGCUAACUACGUGCCAGCAGCCGCGGUAAUACGUACGGUCCAAGCGUUAAUCGGAAUUACUGGGCGUAAAGCGUGCGCAGGCGGUUGUGCAAGACCGAUGUGAAAUCCCCGGGCUUAACCUGGGAAUUGCAUUGGUGACUGCACGGCUAGAGUGUGUCAGAGGGGGGUAGAAUUCCACGUGUAGCAGUGAAUGCGUAUAGAUGUGGANGNAUACCGAUGNCGANNGCAGCCCCNNGANANACACUGACGCUCAUGCACGAANGCGUGNGGAGCAAACAGGAUUAGAUACCCUGGUAGUCCACGCCCUAAACGAUGUCAACUAGUUGUUGGGGAUUCAUUUCAUUAGUAACGUAGCUAACGCGUGAAGUUGACCGCCUGGGGAGUACGGUCGCGAGAUUAAAACUCAAAGGAAUUGACGGGGACCCGCACAAGCGGUGGAUGAUGUGGAUUAAUUCGAUGCAACGCGAAAAACCUUACCUACCCUUGACAUGCCACUAAUGAAGCAGAGAUGCAUUAGGUGCUCGAAAGAGAAAGUGGACACAGGUGCUGCAUGGCUGUCGUCAGUUCGUGUCGUGAGAUGUUGGGUUAAGUCCCGCAACGAGCGCAACCCUUGUCUCUAGUUGUUUCGAAAGGGCACUCUAGAGAGACUGCCGGUGACAAACCGGAGGAAGGUGGGGAUGACGUCAAGUCCUCAUGGCCCUUAUGGGUAGGGCUUCACACGUCAUACAAUGGUGCAUACAGAGGGUUGCCAAGCCGCGAGGUGGAGCUAAUCCCAGAAAAUGCAUCGUAGUCCGGAUCGGAGUCUGCAACUCGACUACGUGAAGCUGGAAUCGCUAGUAAUCGCGGAUCAGCAUGCCGCGGUGAAUACGUUCCCGGGCCUUGUACACACCGCCCGUCACACCAUGGGAGUGGGUUUUGCCAGAAGUAGUUAGCCUAACCGCAA
rnacentral:rRNA from 1 species